CAGCCUGAAGAGAACCAGAUUGGUGGGUUGUAUUUUUGAUAAGAGUUGGAAUAAAUGGCAUGGUUUAGAUCUUUCUUUCCAAGUAGGGUUUCACAGAAGCUGAACAAUCGACCCAGACUUCCACCAACAAGCCCCUGGAGUACUAAUUCUGGAUUCCUAUGAAAGUUUGAGAGAGAGAGAGAGAGAGAUCGGAAGAGAAAUCAAGAGGAGAGAAAAUAAAUUGGACACCAUACGGCCCUCAGGAAAACCCUAGAUACAAAGCAAGAAGUUGUUGCAGGAUCUGUGGACUUCAAGAUGACAUUAGCAAUGGACCGCUUCCCCAAGACAGCAGAAUGCAGCAUUGUUCUACCUGCAUUUUCCCCACAUCCACCAACCUGCCCCUCCAUAGUAGGACUCUGGACCAACAAGGGGCUACACACUUCAGCACUCCAACCCCACAGUCCUGCUGCCCUCGAGUUUAGAACAACCGAGGAAGAAGAAUGUGUGUGUCAGGAACGUGAAGGUUUGGCUAGGAGAGCAAAUGUCUGCCCACGCAAACUGCGCUCCUCGAGCCUGUAAGACAGAGCCUGCUCCUUCUUAUCCCAAAGCCUCUGGAAUUCCCAUUGAGGGCUUUCAUUUCCCCCCCGCUUUCGUGGGCCCCCCUUGCCCCACUCAUACGGUGGCUUUCAAUCUUCAGAAGUAUAACAGCCCUGAAAGGCAGUCCUCCCCCCAGUCACCCCAUACACCGUCGCAGACAGGCAGGUAUGUUUGUAACUUCACUUCAUAGAACAGCAUCUUUUUUUUUUUUGUACCUGUUUUAUUAUUAUAAUUAUUACAACACCGGAUGACCGAUCCCACUUAUUGUGUAUGAAGUGGGAAAUGGAUUUUCCUUGGUGAAUUCCUUCAGACGCUAAACAAUUCACAAUAUUAGAGUGUGGGGUUUUGGUUUUUUUUUUUUUGGCAUCCAGGGGUGAAACAAAAAAAGCGCGCAACUUGUGAUCUUCGUCUUUCAAGGAGUAGCCCUAAAUUAAAACACCUGUUGCAGAUUAUCCUGCGUCCCCCCCUUGUAAAUGGAAUCAUUUAAAUACAAACAAGCGAGGAUAAAUGUAUUGGUUUUCUCCCCCCUGACCUGGGAUCACAGCUUUGGAGCUCGGUAGCGCUUAGUUGAAGACAUUAAUAAUACAUUCGGGAAGCAAAUAUGGGAGCUUUUCUCAGGUCACCUUUUGCCCUGCACACAGAUACAUAUACACACGCGAGCACACAGACAGCUACACCCAGAGAACAUACAUAAACCCACUCCCGACACACGAAUACACAGACACCCACGCAAAACGUAUUCAGAUGCACACAAUCAGGCCUAUCGAUAUAGCUACACAUACACACACAAAACAUUGGCACACAGCUAUCCACACAAACACCACACUGAAAGCGGCGCGCAGAGUGUCCUCGCUAGGGGGGCUACACAAAACACAAGUUUUCAUCUCUCCCUACAGCUGGGGUUAUUUCACUCUGUCCAUCCCCUGCCGAAACCCCCUCGCCCAUCGCCAAGCACUCAGGUAACCACCCCCCGGCCUCCGCUUUGGAAAGGAUCAAGGACCCAAGCGGGCGAACAUUACCUUGUUGCCGGGCAGGGAGUCGGCACCAGGGCAGAGGGCGCAUGGAUGAGAAGUACGGCACUUCCCCUGACAGCCGUUUCAUUUGGCCACUGGCGCCGUUUCCGGUUGUAACUACUAGGGGACCCAAUGAGUUUUGCUGAUAAGGUAUCACAGUGUCUCUCGUCCGCGGGCAGCACCUUAGCUCUGAGCUCCACGGGACCACUGGCCGCAGUUCCAGGACAGCCGGGAGAUGUCGAGGUAUUUCUGGUAACAAUCACAUCACACACAUGCCUACAUUCCGGCUUCCUUUCUCUUU